rnacentral:siRNA from 1 species
GGCCUCCCUGAUGGUCUCCGAGUA